rnacentral:lncRNA from 1 species
CCCUGAAGAGUUUAGGUAGCUGGAUAUAAUGCGGGGUUACUGCAUUUCUAAUAAUCAGUUUAAUCACCUCCCUCGGAGCUAGCUAUUGGAGGGCAAGUUUGUGAUUUCUGCUGAACUUGACAUGGACGCUUUUUAAGUAGUACUUGGAGUGUUGGUGAGCAGCAGAUGUAGCACUCAAGCUGUGAUCACAUGAUCUUGUGGUUGUACUAUUGAUGACCUUGGUCCUACUAAUUCAGUUUAUUUGCUGAAAGCUAUGUUUGGAAAUGAUGCAAUCUGCCAGGCAACACUAAUUUCUCUGCAGCCUGUACUUAUGAGUGUUAUUGUCUUGAUGUAUUUUCUCACCACGGGAAGCCUUAGGUAUACGUAAAAUUAUCGUCUUGUAAUAUGUUCCUAGUGCUAUACUUCUCUAAUAUAUUUAUAUAUGUAAAUAUAUAUGUUACUCUUGUAUCAUCUCUUCCUAGUAUCAUAUGGUGCUUUGCUUCCGUGAUCUUGUGUAUUAGAAGUUGUUAACUAUUGUGUAUUAGAAGUUGUUAAAUAUUCAUUGGUGGCGGCCAUGUCUGCACCCGAGCUCAAAUGAGCUAUGUUGAACCGUAAAAUCAGAAAUAUAUAUAAAAAGAUCUAGUUUCAUUAUGGUAAACUAUGACAAAUGUUCUAAGAGUUUGCAAUAUUUCAUCACAAAAUCACAUUUGGAGUUGUAGCGAAAAAACAAAAUUGAUACUCUAAAAAUGCUAUUAUGAAAGCAUUUUAAAGCACUAAUUUUGUUUUUUCGUCAUCACUUUCAUAAAUGUGAUUUAGUGAUGAAAUUUUGAAACCUUUUAGAACAUUUAUCAUAAAAAAGUUCAGCUUUUUUGAAAUAUUUUAAAUAUUUUCGGAGUUGUUAAUCUCGGCUUAUUUGAGCUCUGGUGUAGAAAGGCAUUUUUGACACGCUUGUUAUCUAUAUGACCAACUCCUAACUGAGCUUGCUCGUAGUUGCGCAAAUUUGAAAUUGCUUGUGGCACUCUGUGUUCAUAUCUUCGCUCUGUUGUUCUUCAUGGAAAAAAAUGUUGAUGUGGAACUAUUUUUUUAGUACCGACCACAUUGAUGUUGUGGUGUGGAAGAAGGAUCAUCUUUCUCGUGAAUGGUGUUUUACGAGUUUCUAUGGAGCUUCGAAAGUCAAUGCUAAUCUCCGUUAGAGCGGUGUGGAGGCACAAUGCUCCCCAAGAUGCCACUAAGGCCACCGUAAUCUCCUCACGCCCUCGCACAAUGCAAGAUGCCGUGAUUCCACUAAGGGACCCUUGAGGGCGGUUACCGAACCCGUACAAAUGGCAAACCUUGGGGGCGGUCACCGAACCCGUACACGUGGCAACCCUUGGGGGCGGUUACCGGUACCCGUACAAAUUGCUCGGGGCUAUCUCCACAACCUAAUUGGAGGCCCCAACACUUUCCCGGAGCUUCACACCACAAUGAUUGAGCUCCGAGACACCACCAAGCUUCUAGGAUGCCAAAUCAUCCACGAAGAACAAUAUCUAGGGUACUAAGUACCAAAGGUAGUAAGCUUCUCAACUUUUCACUUCCACGUAUCACCGUGGAGAACUCAAACCGAUGCAACUAAUGCAAUGGGAAGAACACACGAAGUGGUCAAGUCCCUCACACUCAAAUCCCUCCACAACAACAAAAGCUAUGGAGAAAUAUGAGAGGAAGAAUAAGGAGCUCACAAAGAACUCCAAGAUCUAGAUCCAAGGGGUUCCCCUCACAUAGAGGAGAAAGUGAUUGGUGGAGAUGUGGAUCUAGAUCUCCUCUCUCAUUUCCCUCAAGAACAAGCAAGAAUCAUUGGAGGGAUUGAGAGUUAGCAAGCUCUAAGAAUGUCAACAAUGGAGGUAGAACAAGAGCUCAACGGAUAGAUGAGGCCAAGGGGGAAGAAGACCCCCUUUAUAUAGUGGGGGAAGGAAUCAGACCGUUACCCCCACUAUCUGCCCGAGCUCCAGCGGUACUACCGCUGGCUGCAGCGGUACUACCGCUGGCACUCCAGCGGUACUACCGCUGAUUGCAGCGGCACUACCGCCAGCUAGCGGUACUACCGCUGGCACUCCAGUGGUACUACCGCUGGCCCCAGCGGUACUACCGCUGGGCCUCUGGUAGUGCAAAGGCACUACCACCGCCAAGAUAGUCUUCGCAAAAAGGUCCGUCCAUGAACAACCGCUAGGCAGGCGGUACAAAGCUCCUGGAGCGGUACUACCGCUGACCGUGGCGGUACUACCGCCAACUCUAGCGGUACUACCGCUAGGUCCAGCGGUACUACCGCUCGCCACUGAAACAGCCACAACUUUCGCAUACGAGCUCCGAAUCGAGCAAACCCAAGCUUGUUGGAUUCAGGACGACAAGAGCUAUCCAAACAACCUUUCUCAUGGCAAACAUCCUUUAGGAAGUGUACAUAGAUUUAACACUGAACCCCUUUUUUACCUAGCAUCCACACCUUCAUCAGUCAAUGUGGUGGAGUGGCAAACAUCCAGUAGGUCUUGCCAUUGCACAGCCAAUUCCCCCCGCAAGCAUCUAUGAGAUUGGAGACAUGUCCCUUGAGAGUGAACAACUUAUAAAAAUUGACAUUUUUGCCAAAUGUAAGGUUAUAUAGACUUUGAAAUCUGGAAAUAAUAGAUGGCAUCCAUGUGAUUGGCAAUUAAAACCAUGUUUGCUUAGUUUUGAGUCCGUCUGUUCUCGGUGGUGCGAGCUCAUGCUGCAUUUUGAGAUUGUGUACAUAAGACGGUAAGACUGUUUGUAGGAGGAACUGGCUAGAGCCAUGGAUAGCUUAAGGUGGAGAAACAAGUGAAAAUCCAUGGAUACCAGCUAAGCGAAUGUAAUGGAAGAUAAUCCAUGGAUACCAGCUAAGGGAAUGUAAUGGAAGAUAAAUUCUACACAGUUUGCCAUGGGUUUUGAGUCAUGUCCUAAGCCACGUAUACUCUAUGUGCCCGCUGGCUUUCUGUUGGGCCUUGUAUAUUUGGUUUCUGGGAAGUACCGAGUUAGAAGAAAACUGUGCUAAGUGCUUACCUAGCAUAUAUUACCAGCCAUCCUCGUUAAGUGAAGUGCCAUUUGGAACACUAUUUUGAGCCAUAAUACACUUUUACCUAUGACAAUGACUUGUUUCUCCUAGUCACAACUCUCCAAUCUUUAGCAUGAACUACCCUUAUUAGACACUCAACUUUAACUGUACUUCCAAGUUUUUGAAGUUGAUUCGAGAAGUUCACUCUCUCCAAUCCAGGAUGUAGGUUUCUUUUAGAGUUGGGCACACGAUUAAUGGUGUAGGUAGCAAUGUUACCAUUUAUUUGUCUCUACAAUAAAUACAAGUGCUAGAGUUUCUUUUGGCAGCACAAUCAAUACUAGAGUUAUUACUAAUACUUGAUGAAACUAAUGAGGCGCUAAAUAAGCACACCAUGAGAAGAAAUGUGAUGUACUACAAUACUAGGCCUUAUUUGUCAGUUGAAAAGGCUAAACCACAAUUUUCCGUAUUUGCCAGUCCUUGCUGCUAAAUCUCGUUAGACUAAAUUAUCAGUUCCUCUAUAUCCGCAACCCCAGCCUUCAAGUUCUAAACCUUAUCUAGUCUAGAUUAAAUAAAUAUCACAUGUCACAAAGUAAAGCGAAGCAAUUGGUCUUUCCUUGUGCUUUCUAUUGGAACAGUCUCUUUCUAUCUGUGUUCCUGUAUUAUUCAGCUGCCACAUUUUGGUUCUUUAAUUGUCAACAAGUCCAAGUUUUUGCAGCCACUUUGAUGCAUUUGGAUUUAGCAAUUUCAGUUAUUACGUACACGAGUCUUUCUUGAUUAUAUUGCUUUCAAUAUGGUUAUCAUAUCUACUCACAAUCAUCUCCCUUUUGCUGAAUAGAAUUGAGAAGCUAAAGCGUGGUUUUGGUAUGCACGUCCCUGAAGAGUUUAGGUAGCUGGAUAUAAUGCGGGGUUCCUGCAUUUCUAAUAAUCAGUUUAAUCACCUCCCUCGGAGCUACCUAUUGGAGGGCAAGUUUGUGAUUUCUACUGAACUUGACAUGGACGCUUUUUAAGUAGUACUUGGAGUGUUGGUGAGCAGCAGAUGUAGCACUCAAGUUGUGAUCACAUGAUCUUGUGGUUGUACUAUUGAUGACCUUGGUCCUACUAAUUCAGUUUAUUUGCUGAAAGCUAUGUUUGAAAAUGAUGCAAUCUGCCAGGCAGCACUAAUUUCUCUGCAGCCUGUACUUCUGAGUGUUAUUGUCUUGAUGUAUUUUCUCACCAUGGGAAGCCUUAGGUAUACGUACAAUUAUCGGCUUGUAAUAUGUUCCUAGUGCUAUACUUCUCUAAUAUAUUUAUAUAUGUAAAUAUAUAUGUUACUCUUGUAUCAUCUCUUCCUAG